rnacentral:rRNA from 1 species
GACGAACGCUGGCGGCGUGCUUAACACAUGAAAGUCGAACGAAGUGGCGAACGGGUGAGUAACGCGUAAUCAACCUGCCCUUCAGAGGGGAACAACAGGUGGAAAAGACUGCUAAUACCGCAUACUGAAGGAGGGGAUUGCGUGUGAUUAGCGAGGUGGAGGGGUAACGGCCCACCAAGGCGAUGGUAAGUAGCCGGUCUGAGAGGAGGAACGGCCACAUUGGGACUGGGACACGGCCCAGACUCCUACGGGAGGCAGCAGUGGGGAAUCUUCCGCAAUGGACGAAAGUCUGACGGAGCAACGCCGCGUGAGUGAUGACGGCCUUCGGGUUGUAAAGCUCUGUUAAUCGGGACGCGGUACCGGAAUAGAAAGCCACGGCUAACUACGUGCCAGCAGCCGCGGUAAUUC